AUUGAACGCUGGCGGCAGGCCUAACACAUGCAAGUCGAGCGAGAGGCGGACGGGUGAGUAAUGUCUGGGAAACUGCCCGAUGGAGAGGGAUAACUACUGGGAACGGUAGCUCAUACCGCAUACCAUCUUAUAUGCCCAGAUGGGAUUAGCUAGUAGGUGGGGUAAAGGCUCACCUAGGCGACGAUCCCUAGCUGGUCUGCGAGGAUGACCAGCCACACUGGAACUGAGACACGGUCCAGGCUCAUACGCGAGGCAGCAGUGGGGAAUAUUGCACAAUGGGCGCAAGCCUGAUGCAGCCAGGCCGCGUGUAUGAAGAAGGCCUUCGGGUUGUAAAGUACUUUCAGCGAGGAGGCGUUACCCGCAGAAGAAGCACCGGCGAACUCCGUGCCAGCAGCCGCGGUAAUAC
rnacentral:rRNA from 1 species